UAAAUUAAGUAAUUUUUCAGAAUCGUUAUAUGGUCACAUUGCCACGUGCAUUCUUUCACUUCUUUUUUUCACUCAAAAUGGACGGUCGAGUUUUCUGCUUAGAUUCUCAACUAAAAUUUAAUAAAAUGGAUGAUGUGCGGUAGCAGGAACAAUCUCUGAAAAUAGCAAUGGAAAAGAACAAUUUACAUGGUUUUCUACCACAUUUAUCUACACGUGUCCAAAAGUAAGAUUCCAUUUGAAAGUGUAUUAAAAUGCACAUGGCUUACGAGAAGAUUUCAUUUGAAAGUGUAUUAAAAUGCACAUGGCUUACGAGAAGAUAGACGGAAGCAAAAUAAGAUAAGCAGAAUUAAGUGCUCACGAAUGCCUGAGAAAUGGAAAAGUUUAGAACUAAAUUCAGAGAUCUUGGUUGGACUGCUUAACAAUAAUGGGCACAUCAGAAAAUGGUUAACAAAACUCCAAAUUGUUUCCAAUCGACCGAAUUAUGCAAUCCACUAAAACAUCUGGAUCUCUUCUCAGAACAAUGGCUACCAAUGGAAACUAGAAAUGCAUACGAAUUCGGGAUUAUAAGAAAUAUCUUGUUCUCUCGUUGUAUUGCACUCGAAAAAUCGUUUUUCGGCUAUGUAGUUUGACGGCAAAGAAAGGAGAAAUGCGUCAAUAUCAUCAUUAAAUAUCAUCAAAAAUUGAUAUCUGCGCACUAAAUCAAUCAAGUUUUAAGGAAUUUAGGUGAUUAAAAAGAUUCGCAUAGAUGCCAAAAUUCCAAAUUAUACCCAGUGAAGGAUGUCUUAAAAAGUUUUAAGAUAUUCACAUUUUCUGAAGUACACAAAUAGCAUUUGAUUUUUAGUACAAGAUUCACAUUUUCUGAAGUACACAAAUAGCAUUUGAUUUUUAGUACAAGAUAUCUCAGGAUAGCCAGUGGAACAGAAUAUUUACGCUUCAACCUUAUUAAGGCUUCACCAUUCAUUGGAACGAUCUUAUAGAGUGGCUAAAAGAUCCAUGAACGAAGAAAUGCUCAAAAGGCUACCUGGCUUCUGGCUUUGUGAAUCAGCUGAACUUUGUGGUAUCAUGAGGAUUGCGAAGAUAAAAGACCUCAUUCUGAACUCUGAAAACCAAACUGUUGUAGUCAUUUAAAGAAAUAAAAACUCAAGAGAUACUGUUUAAUAUAA